UCCCAGAACGCUGGGAUCACGCCCUGAGCCGAAGGCAGACGCUUAACCGCUGUGCCACCCAGGUGGGCAGGACUGCGGGGCCCAGCCGUCCCCGCCCACACGCUGGGGUGGAGUGCCUGCAGGUUGGGCAAGUGGGCACAGCAGCCCCCAGCCACAGGUGACUCUCCCAUGUCGGAUCCAGGAGGGAUCGCCAGGAGUCCCAGGAGCGCUCGCUGGUCCGAGCCACCAACGGGGGCAUUGUCCCCAGAGCACAACAUCCUUUCACCUCCACAAAAGGGUCCAGAAAUCACCUGCUGCCGACAUGAAAUGCAAACCCCCCGUAAGGACGAUUCAGCACCAUGGACAUCUCAGAACGGCGAGAGAGGUUCACAUGGGUUGUACUGCAAAUCACAGGAUAUAUCGCCUGGGUUUUGGGUUUUCUGUCAUUUUAUACCUCAGUUUCCCUCUAGUCACUGUAGCUCGUACCCAAAAAAAGCAUCGCUGCGGCAUUUCAUUCACAAGUUUUGCUGAUUGGGCUCAAAACAGACGCAGCCGCAUGAACCAGGAGCCUAUGUGGGUGCCGUCAGCGGAGACUGAGGAAGACAGGGAGGCGGAGCACAGGGACCCACUGGGCGCAGCACAGACCGCACCGCCACUCCUUCACUUUCCACCUGUAAGCAGGCACGUCACGGUCUAUCUGGGCAGGUGUGGUAAUGGUGUUUGCACAUCUUCCCCCCCCCAGAGAAGCAGGGCCAGGUUGGGUUGCCCUCUGCCACGUGGGGGUCUCACCUGCUGGUGGACGGCCAUGUGUGAGGGGGUGGGGUCCCCGCACGCUGCCCAGCACAGUGCAAGCAGGGCGUAAGCAUGGCGUUCCAGGGCUGUCUCUGCCCAGAUGUUCUGGGGACACUGAGGCCGCCCACCCGGUGGCUCCUGCCAGCACUUUCCAGACCCCUCAGCCCCCGAGGUCGGGCUCUGGGUCACACCAUUCAGAAACAGUUCUCAUGAGGUGGCCGCGUAUCUCUAUGGUGCAAACCAAGACCCAGCUUUUGGUCCUGGACGACGGCACAUCCAAACAGACGGUGGCCAGACCGUCCAUAGGUGGAACUCUGGCCCCCGGUCUCUCAGCUGGCCCUGAACGACCAGCCUUGGGCCAGCGACGAUGGCUUCCCCAGCUCAGGACCAGCCUGAGAAGCCAAAUAUUCCCCCCAACCACCCACAUGGGACAUCUAUACCCGUCCGCUAGGGCUUCCCAACACAUACCACACGGUGGGAGGGCUGUCCGCGCACAUUCUUCCCUCACCAUCCUGGAGGCUGGAUGUCCGGACCCAGCUGUGGGCAGGGCUGUCCCUUCUGAGGCCCCUCUCCUGGGACGCAGACACCAGGCUCCCUGUGCUGUGCUCACGAGCUGGGCGGCAUCCCGCUCUGCUGAUCACUCCCCCUGUGCUUUCCGGGGCUCAGGGCUCAGUGGAAGGGGUGCAGGACCUCAUUCUGACCCCUCACGGGAGGUCAAAGCUCUUGGAUGCCCCGAAGCCCGUGCUCUGGAGAAAUGACACCGGACGAGGGAGUCAGGUAAACAUUUUCGAAGAUAAACCAGCAAACCCACGGCCGCCGUAAGCCCUGUUUCCAUAUCGUAUCAAACCUAACGAAUAUGAGUGUUACAACUUUAUAAAAGCUAAAUUUGAAUCACAGCUUGAACGCUUGAAAA